rnacentral:tRNA from 1 species
GCCUGGGUGGCUCAGUCGGUUAAGCAUCUGACUUCAGCUCAGGUCGUGAUCUCACAGUUGGUGGGGUGGUGGGUUUGAGUCCCGUGUCAGGCU